GGAGAACAGGGGAGCUUGGAGAGGCCAGAGGUUACACAGCCAGGCUCGGCAGCACAGAAUGUUGCUAAAAGCCUGGGCUCCCGAUUCCCAGGUAAAUGGCCUCUGCUCAGCCCAGAGCAAGACCCAGAGAUCAUAACACCAGGCCAGGUACAUACUGACUAUAAACAGAGUCAUUGACAAGAACCAGGAAAAAGACAAGAGCUGAGGAGGAAGCCUCAUCAGGCAGGUGACCUCAGAUCCUCGCUGUAACGACGGAAAGUUGGCUGAGCAGUGAGCCAGCUGUGGAGACUCGGUCCCCAGCUUGUGCCUCACUCAGGCACAAGGGAGAGUGACAAUCCAGACAACCAACAGGGAGGGUGAACACACAGAGACCGCAAAGGAGAAAACACAGCUUUUGUCGUAUGUCAGGGCUCCUUCAAGAGUCCGUAGACCCUCCCCAGUUUGCUCACAUGAAGCCAAUCAUGAUCUCCACCCUGGGCACACCCCUCCUACGCCUCCUCCUCCAACAAGCCUCCACCUGCAAGGCAAACACACUCAGAGUUCACCCGCCACCCGUACCUUCCCAUGCAAACCCAGCAAAAUGGAUGGCAGAGACUGUGGGAAAGAGGCAGGAAGAGAGACUGCGGUUAGCAAGGUGGGUUCUGAGGCGUGAGCUUCUUCAUCGCUACCAUCCAAUAACAACACGAAAGAAAAACACAGCCUGAACUUGAAGGUGAGCAGUUCAGGGGAAGAUCAAGAGUUAGGAGCGAAGGUAGACUCUCUUAAAUUGUGUGCCGACUUAUUCUCAAGAUGCGUUGGAAAGCACAACCAUGCCCUGCAUCAAACAAUGCUUCAGACCCAGGUAGCAACUCUCACUCCCCCUCUGGGCUUAGCUGCUCCAGAAACCAGUACUUUGGAGGAGUAUCCUGGGAGCCCCCAUUUGUCCCAGCUGUCUCUUAUCGGCUCAGGGAUGGACAUUUCGUGCUGCAUUCUCUGAUGUGUGUCCCUGUCAUAACUUUCCCCUUUGCCAUAUCAAUGAUAGCUGAUUAGGGCCUACCCUUGAUGAUCUCAUUUUGACCUGAUUACAUCUGUGAAGAUCAGAUGUCCAAAUAAACUCCCUUUCCGAGGU
rnacentral:lncRNA from 1 species